GGAGCAACGCCGCGUGAGUGAUGAAGGGUUUCGGCUCGUAAAACUCUGUUGUUGGAGAAGAACAGGUGAUAGAGUAACUGUUAUCAUCUUGACGGUAUCCAACCAGAAAGCCACGGCUAACUACGUGCCAGCAGCCGCGGUAAUAUGUAGGUGGCAAGCGUUGUCCGGAUUUAUUGGGCGUAAAGCGAGCGCAGGCGGUUUUUUAGGUCUGAUGUGAAAGCCUUCGGCUUAACCGGAGAAGGGCAUCGGAAACCGGGAGACUUGAGUGCAGAAGAGGACAGUGGAACUCCAUGUGUAGCGGUGAAAUGCGUAGAUAUAUGGAAGAACACCAGUGGCGAAGGCGGCUGUCUGGUCUGUAACUGACGCUGAGGCUCGAAAGCAUGGGUAGCGAACAGGAUUAGAUACCCUGGUAGUCCAUGCCGUAAACGAUGAGUGCUAAGUGUUGGAGGGUUUCCGCCCUUCAGUGCUGCAGCUAACGCAUUAAGCACUCCGCCUGGGGAGUACGACCGCAAGGUUGAAACUCAAAGGAAUUGACGGGGGCCCGCACAAGCGGUGGAGCAUGUGGUUUAAUUCGAUGCUACGCGAAGAACCUUACCAGGUCUUGACAUCUUCUGCUAACCUAAGAGAUUAGGCGUUCCCUUCGGGGACGGAAUGACAGGUGGUGCAUGG
rnacentral:rRNA from 1 species